rnacentral:tRNA from 1 species
GGGGUUGUGGCUCAGCGGUAGAGUGCUUGCCUAGCACAUGCAAGGCCCUGGGUUCCAUCCUCAGCACCACA